UAUUAACGUCUCUUUGUGCAAGUCCUCGGGUUUCAGUCUGUCUCACCCCAAACAUUGGGCAAAUGUGGGGGAAUGCACUCCGUCUUGCCUGGGUUUGUCAGAUCUAAACCAAAGGCCACAAGAACAGCUAUUUUACGGGAAGGCGCCCCCCCUUGUCAAAGGUAAAUAAAUGCAAGCCACAGAAAGCACGCGGACUUGGAGAGAGGUGGACCCACCGCCUGCCACCUUCAGAGAAGCAGCUUCUUAGGAAGCUCUUUCCUCAAAGUAAAGCGGGAAACCCAGAUCAUUGUGCAACCACGGUGGACACGCAGAGCAGGCAUCUCCGGCGGCGACAAAAGCCGGGGUCGGGCAUCAACUACCCCUACCCCUUGCGUUCAUUCGAACCCUCGGGGCAAGCGCAGCAGAAUCCACAGGUGUGGCGACACGUUAGGGUCCCCCAAGGAACCACAGCAGCCUACAGCCACGCAGGUUCGUCCCCUUUUCUCCCGUACUCCCCGGGCUCCCGAUGACUAGUGCCACUCACCUGCAGCCGGGGCCACCUGGACAAGGAGGCAGCCGAGAAAGGAAACUCCGAGACCCCGAAAGGGGUGACUCACCAGUGAUUCAACAACGCCGCCGAGCACCGAGUUGCCCCUUCGGCGCAGGCGGGUCCAGGUGCUACGGAGUCCCAGGCUGCCGGGCGAUCCCUGGAUGACCAGCCUUGGGUGGCCUGCGAGGGAAAAAGGAGUUGUGUUCCAGAGAACUGAGUUGCAUGUCAAGAGAGCCUUACUUUUCUCUGUGCUUUCCAUGUAGACUCAGUCCCUAGCAGAGGUUGUAUCGGGGUCCCUGGACCAUCCCCAAGUAGACAAGGGCAGUUCCAAGGCUCUGGCCGAGCACCCGGUGGUUAGCGGAACAUUCUGUCAGUCUCUUGGUACAUUGUGCAGGACGGCACAGUAAAUGCACGUGUUUGCCAUGGACAAUUGCCCUGGAUUAGGUCUAAAGGCCACUUGGCACCCCCCCCCCCCAUCCUGCCCCGGUUCUCGUUCCCAACUUCAGAGAAGGACUGAGGAACUGCAGCUUGAAGCCUGGGAGACUCUGAGUGUCACUUCUGUCGCCAGGGGCUUCCAGGAAGGAUGGUUCACACGUUGAAGAAGACAGUGUGGGUUUGUGAGAAUUCCUCCAAAAUGCAGAAAAACAUAAAGCGAAACUGAAAAAUAAAUGACAUUCGGACUUCCA